GUCGGUUUGAACUCCUUGUGAUUUUACCCUUACGCAGAAAUGAGAAGAAGAGAAAAGAGAUUGUUGUGCAGACGAGCCAACGCGUUUUGAAAAGAGUUUGUGUGAGAAAAAAGACUCACAGAAAACGACAAAAAAGUAAAAACAACAUAAACAACAAGAACACAAAAACAACACUUUAGGCGGGAAUCAACAAGUUAAGAAAGAGGAGAAAGAGAGAAAACGAACACUUUUGGCGGGCGGGAAUCGGUAGCUUUAAAGGAGAGAGAAAAAAAAAAGACGAACGCUUUUGGCGGGACUCAACAGGUUUGAAACAGGAAGAGGAAGAUCGAACACUUUUGGCGGGAAUCGAGAGCUUUAAAAGAGAAUUAGAAAAAAAAAACGAACACUCUUGGCAGGAAUAAACAACUAUUAAAGAGAAAAAAUAAAGAGAAACGAAUACUCUGGAAUAAACAACUUUAGAAAAGAAAAAUAGAGAGAAAC